rnacentral:lncRNA from 1 species
UGAAAGAGUCAGGAAAUCGGAAAACUGAAUUGGACAAGUCGUCCAUGGAAGAGCCUAAGGACUAAUGGCCAAGGCAUUGAUGUUGGAAUGUGAAGUACGGAGACUUACAUUCGAAUGGAACGUCUGUUGAGAAUGCUUAGACGAAUCCUAAGAUUUUCAAGGUAAUGGACAAGCUGGUCCGGGAAAAUGGAACUGGAAGUUUCAUAAAAAGAUUUUGGAAAAAUCUGAGUAAGACUUACACUUAGCAAGUGGUGAGUGUAGGAAAGUCUGGAUAUAGGAACUGGACAAAAGGAUUGUCAAAGUUGACUAAGCUUGAUCGUCUUGGUAGGUUGGUGCUGUUUGAGAGUUGAGAUUAUUGGAACAAGAGAUUGGAAGUCAGGUGUAGAUGCCAAAGACUUGUUAGGUGAUCAAGAAACUACUUGGAGGUACAAGAUGCUAUAGAUGAUGAGUUGUCGUCAGAGUUUCAAAAGUAGUAAAUGAUCGGUUCAUAUCAUGAGCGUCUAGAUCAGACAAGGUACUUAGGGGCUGUGACGCUUACUAAGGCUUACUAGAUUUUGGAUGACGGCUCGAUGAUGUGGGACGAUCAUUUGAGUUUGGAUUAUUAAUUCCUUUCAUGCGAGAGUCUAUAUCAGUUUAGAUGCUUAUGGCUGAGAUGUUCAUUAAGACUUAACUGGAUUGUAAAACGGCUGCUCAAUUACUUGGAAUGAUAAUGCUAGACCAGACUAAGUGUCUGAUGAACUGGACAAGUGGGAAUGCUGAAACAUUAGCGUUAAAGUUGAUAAUAUGUCCUUAGAAACCGAGUGGGUUUUCUAAGGCAUAACUGU